GAUGAACGCUGGCNGGCGUGCUUACACAUGCAAGUCGAGCGAAGCACUUAAGUGGAUCUCUUCGGAUUGAAACUUAUUUGACUGAGCGGCGGACGGGUGAGUAACGCGUGGGUAACCUGCCUCAUACAGGGGGAUAACAGUUAGAAAUGACUGCUAAUACCGCAUAAGCGCACAGGACCGCAUGGUCUGGUGUGAAAAACUCCGGUGGUAUGAGAUGGACCCGCGUCUGAUUAGCUAGUUGGAGGGGUAACGGCCCACCAAGGCAACGAUCAGUAGCCGGCCUGAGAGGGUGAACGGCCACAUUGGGACUGAGACACGGCCCAGACUCCUACGGGAGGCAGCAGUGGGGAAUAUUGCACAAUGGGGGAAACCCUGAUGCAGCGACGCCGCGUGAAGGAAGAAGUAUCUCGGUAUGUAAACUUCUAUCAGCAGGGAAGAAAAUGACGGUACCUGACUAAGAAGCCCCGGCUAACUACGUGCCAGCAGCCGCGGUAAUACGUAGGGGGCAAGCGUUAUCCGGAUUUACUGGGUGUAAAGGGAGCGUAGACGGAAGAGCAAGUCUGAUGUGA
rnacentral:rRNA from 1 species